rnacentral:snoRNA from 1 species
UACGGUUUUGUUAAAGUCAGUGUUUCCUUUGCACUGGCCAAAGUGGCUGCCACAGUUUACCUGUAGUUCAUGGGCCCAGCAUCUUUUUUCCAUGGAUUCUGGGGAUAUGUUUGUACUACAUACAAUC